rnacentral:rRNA from 1 species
UUUAAGCAUAUCACUCAGUGGAGGAAAUGCAAGCAACUGCGAUUACUUCAGUAACGGCGAGUGAAGCAGCAUGACCUAGGCUCAGCCCGCAAGGGCACGCAUCCUGUGAACCCAGCAAGGAAGAAUCUCCUCGACRACCAAUGUGCAACUGUGUGCGAUGUGCGAUGGAAUCCACCUCUGGGGUGGUCGGCUACCAUGGAACAGCCAAGCGAUGUGGGUAGACGGAACGAUGGCAGGGCCCCGAGGGCCAGCAGGGGAUCAACAAGCGGUCUCUGGAAUGAGACACCACGGAGGGUGAUAGUCCCGUGGAAUACCCUGUCUGGUCUGAGGGAUACGCCCAUUGUCUCCAAGAGUCGAGCGGCUUGAGACUGCAGUUUGAACGUGGGUCUUGGAUCCGACCCAAGGUGGCAUACUGACCUGGAACCGAUAGCAAACAAGUAGUGUGAACGAAAGCUGCAAAGCACUCCGCAAGGAGAGUCCAAAGUCCCUGAAGCCUCAGAGGAUCGAGCGGUUGAGUGGUGCUAUGGAUGUGAUGACCGUGGGCUCAGGCAUCGGGUCUCAUGGCCCAAGCCUUGCUGCCCACGGUGGAAGACCAACCAAGUGGCCUUGGACCAGCCACCAGUCUCGCUUGAGAGCCCUCACACGAGAUGUGGGGAUCGUUCUAGACAGGAGACAGGCGUGCGACUGUGCUUCACCGGAACCGAGGCUUACACACUGUGCACCUCUAGCAGAGACCCUGGUAUCUGUUGAGAUCUCAAGAGUGCUCCAGCGUUUGAGUGAACGCUCCUUGCUGAACCUGGCACGUCUUCGGACGCCUGUCAGUCAGCGCCACGAUCCCAGCCUGGCUCGGAGCCUUUGGUUCUUGGACUCUGCUACCUGCGAGCUUUCAAAGGUGGUCUCCAAGCGAUCAUUGGCUCUCCAGUGGUGGGGUCUGGCUGGUGUGGCUCACGCCACAUCUACCCUGGGCUUGGUUAUGGUGCCACCAACUGCCCGUCUUGAAACACGGACCAAGGAGUCUUUGGAGCUUGCGAGUGACACAUGUCACGACCUGUGAUGAUGCUGUAGUGCGUGGUCAAGGCAACCAGACACCCCGAUGGGAGAUCCCUGCAGGGGUGCCGGUCCCGAAGUCCACAGGACUGGGUUUUGAGUGCUUGCAAGGUCCAAGGGACCCGAAAGGUGGUGAACUUUCCCGAACGACAGUGAAGCCAUGGGAAACUGUGGUGGAAGCUGGUCGCUGUUCUGACGUGCAAAUCGUGUAGCCCGAGUGCGGCAAAGGGGCGAAAGGCCAAUCGAGCCACCUAGUAGCUGGUUCCCUCCGAAGUUUCCCUCAGGAUAGCUGGGCUUGAGAUGUGCAACUCUGACCACUGUGCUUACGUCCGGUAAAGCAACGCACGAGAGGCAAUCCCUGGGGAGCACAUGGCUCCUCGACCUAUUCUCGAACUGUGAAGGGGCGUGUAUGAAGCCCAAGACAUGCUGCUUUGCAAGAGGGCACACGAGGUGGGUGCCGCAUGGCCGAAGCCUUGUGCUGCCACUCUGACUUGAGCGUGUUGAACCCAUGGUGAGAGGCCACCAGGCGCCGAGGAGACCAGGAGCUGUGGAUGAUCGAGGCCAUGCCCUCAAAGGGAACCCUUGCUCUCUCCUCGCUCCCCUCUGGCACAUGCCUGGGUGUUGCCGAUCCCAUAGCAGAGGCACAAACAACCAUCUUGCCCAUGUGGACCACGACCUGGUAAGCAGUGCUGGUGAUGCGGGAUGCUCCGAGAGUUGACUUGAAGUGCCCGAGUGUUGGCUCACACUCAGAACCCACAAAGGAUGUUGCCUGCUGGAGAUAGCAGGACGGUGGCCAUGAAGGUUGGAAUCCGCUGAGGAAUGUGUAACAACUCACCUGCCGAAGCGCGCAGCUCCGAAAAUGGAUGGUGCCCAAGCCAACUGACUGUCACUUAGAGUCAACCGGUCGCGUGGUGAAUGGACCACACAACCACGAUGCAGAGCGCUACUGAGUAGGAUGGACACUGGAGAAACGGUGAAGGCUGCUGGGCAUGAGCCUGGCUUCGAGUCUCUUCUGGAGCAGAUCUUGGUUGCAGUAGCGAGUACUCCACCGAGUGAGGAGCAACGGGUUGUGUGCUUCGCAUGAUACGCCGAGGGCCUCCCUCUCAUGGGUAUGAUGGACCUUGUGAGGGGGGACCCGAAGACCACUGUCACCGAGAGGCACACCCCUUGCCUGAUGCAGUUGAGGACUGGAGUGGAGCAGGUUUCCACAUCAACAGCCGUUGAAUAUGGGUCAGCCGACCGUGAGCCAAGUGGUAAGUUCACUGAACAACCAAAGCUGCAGCUCUUGCCCUCGACUGGAAUGACCCCAAGCGCGGUUCCCUUGUGGCGUGAGACCUGAGCCCCCAAACAGGGGGCUCGAACCCACAGGACGCGUGUCCUCUCGAGGCAAGGAAGCAGGGAGUGGCAAACAGGCAAGCAAGGCCAACAUUCUGCUGUGAUGGGCUCAGGACGAUCCUCCCACAACAGAGGAUCAGGUGGUGACACCCUUCAGGACAUCUCGACUCGAGGGCUUUGAGCUGGUGAUACCCCCGAGGAGUUCUCGUUUCCUUCUGAUGCAUCAGACCUGAGGGCUACAGACCCGAUGUCAUUGUGGUGAUGUAUGCUUUGCGACACAGCAAGACAGCCCGAACCCUCCAGGGCUUGUGGCUUUCCUGAGGGCAACCCUUCGAAGUGUGACCUCAACUGAGGUGUCAACCAGCUCCAAUGAAAGGCAAUUGAGUCAGAGUCCUGGGCUCCUGAUCAUCGUACUGCAUUACCGCAGCCGGUCUCCUCGACCAGACGUCGCUUGUCCACAGAUGCAAUGCAGCCAAGGGAAGUCGGCAAAUUGGCUGUGUAACUUCGGAAGAUGCAGUGGCUCCAGAGGCCAACGGUCACAACGGGGACCAGUCUGGGCGCGUGGACCUCCAUCCACGCUGAAGGGUUGGGGAUCGAACUCGAUCCAUCCUCGUGACCAUCAGUGGCUCAGUGUGGAACUGUUGCUGACCAGGGGAAUCUGACUGUUUAAUUGAAACCCAGCCUUGUGACGGGACCCGAUGGCUAAUGCCACGAGGUGACUUCUGCCCAGUGCUCUGACUGUCAAACUGAAGAGAUUCAGCCAAGCUCGGGUAAACGGCGGGAGUAACUAUGACUCUCUUGAGGUAGCCAAAUGCCUCGUCAACCAAUUAUUGACGCGCAUGAAUGGAUCAACGAGAUUCCUGCUGUCCCUGGAUGCUGUCUGGUGAACCAACAGCCAAGGGCACGGGC